GUAAAGCACUUUCAGUAGGGAGGAAGGUAGUGUAGUUAACACCUGCAUUUAUUUGACGUUACCUACAGAAGAAGCACCGGCUAACUCCGUGCCAGCAGCCGCGGUAAUACGGAGGGUGCGAGCGUUAAUCGGAAUUACUGGGCGUAAAAGCGCAUGCAGGCGGCCUGUUAAGUCAGAUGUAGAAAAGCCCGGGCUUAAACCUCGGAAAUUGCUAUUUAGAAAAACUGGCAGGCUAGAGUCUUGUAGGAGGGGGUAGUAAUUUCAGGUGUAGCGGUAGAAAAUGCGUAGAGAUCUGGAAGGAAUACCAGGUGGCGGAAGGCCGGCCCCUGGAACAAAGACUGACGCUCAGAUGACGAAAGCGUGGGGAGCAAACAGGAUUAGAUACCCUGGUAG
rnacentral:rRNA from 1 species